UACAGAGGUCUCGAGCGUUGUUCGGAUUCAUUGGGCGUAAAGGGUGCGUAGGUGGCGCCGUAAGUCGGGUGUGAAAUUUCGGAGCUUAACUCCGAAACUGCAUUCGAUACUGCGGUGCUCGAGGACUGGAGAGGAGACUGGAAUUCAUGGUGUAGCAGUGAAAUGCGUAGAGAUCAUGAGGAAGACCAGUGGCGAAGGCGGCAUCCUGGACCAACACUGACACUGAGGAGCGAAAGCCAGGGGAGCAAACGGG
rnacentral:rRNA from 1 species